CCCCGGUAGUGCAGGAUGAGGAAUCCGAUGGUCAGCGUCUGCAGCAGCAGGAACAGCGCCUCGCCCCACGCGCUGAAGGGGAAGCCGUGCCUCACACUGUAGGCCACCGACCCCCCCAGCGCCAGCAGCUCCAGCCCCACAGCGCCCACACUCAGCCCGGCCCCACUGCGCGCCCCAUAGAUCUUCAGCACCUGGGGGAGCUUCAC
rnacentral:lncRNA from 1 species